rnacentral:rRNA from 1 species
GGAUCAAUAUGUUGGUCGUGCCUUGGUACGUACUAGUUUAUUGGUUUCUUCCUUCUGACGAACCAUGAUGUCAUUAAUUUGGUGUCUUGGGGAAUCUGGACUGUUACUUUGAAAAAAUUAGAGUGUUUAAAGCAGGCUAACGCCUGAAUACAUUAGCAUGGAAUAACGAAAUAGGACGUUUGAUUCUAUUUUGUUGGUUUCUAGGAUCGACGUA